GUAAAGGCCUGGUUAAGCCUUAAAGAUAUGAAUCUUGUCAAGCCAACAGUCUCUCUCCGUCCCUUCAACAGUCAACCUUUUUUCACCCGAUCAAUACUUUUCAUUAUCAUUUCACUUUCUUACAAUUGGUGUAAAAGGGUGAUUCAAAGUGGACUCAAGGUCAGAUUACCGUUACUUUUAUUGUCUCUUAAACAUCUUAAAAGGUAUUACAAAAGGUAAGAUUUUUACUCGUUUACAUCAUUUCCUUUAAUAUCAUUAUUUGAUUGAAGAAACGAUUUAAGGAUCAAAAAAGGUGGGCUGACUUUUCAUUCAUUAUUUUUACUUAUCAUUUAUUUCAUUUGAAUGCUGAAUUUGCUUUUGUUGUUAACAAUGAUUAUGUUUAAAUUUCAUUCCCUGAGUUUCCUUAUGUUGUGUAUUUGUGUAUCAAUGAAAAACAAUUUUUUUGUGCUUCUUUGCUUUACCUGUGCCUUUCAACUCUUUACUUUGUUAGUGAUUUCCGUUUUUUCUUGCUUUAACCCUUUCAAAUUGCUCGUCUUUUGUUAUUGUUAAUAAAUUAUGCUUGAUUAAGUUUACCUUGGUUGUUAAAGGUUAGCUUGACUGUCAUUUUUAAAGAUGAUAACCCUUUUUGGCUUCGCAUUCAAACAGAUAAUCUUAGGCUUUUUUUACCAGAUUGAAGGUUGAUUUGGUUAGCAAAAAGGGUUUUUAUAAUGGGCUUGGCUUUAAUUGUAAACUAUUAAGAUUUGAUGAUGAAAAAUUGAAAUGGAUUCUGUUACCUCCAUAUGGAUUGGAAGGGAUGAAAUAAACUCUCCUGAGGAGGCAAGAAUUGAAUAUUUCAAUAUUUCCGUUUCAACAAUUUUUCUUUUUCCAUUUCUUCCAAUGCUUUUAAGCUUUCUUUUGUGUCUAUACAAAGUGAAUUAAUUUGGAUAAAGGUUAAUUAUGUUGAUUAUGUUUGGUAAAAUUGUUUGGUAAUGUCAAUAUUGAUGGAAAAAAUUGUGUAAAAUAAUCAGUUUGAUUGAAAUUGCUUUUCUAGUUUGUUUGAUUUUUCAGUUUCAAUGUGAGCGCCUUUUUUCAGUCGGUUGCAUUUCAUUGGUUGGAUUAUGUUUACAAGCGGUAAACACUUGUUUCUCCUUUACUGUUGAUUUCAAGACAAUUUGCUAUUGUGAUUAACGCCACGAGUUUCAACUUGACUUUUUGUGAUUUUGUGAGUUUAAAUAAUUGUUAUGUGAUACCAAUCAAUUGAGUACCGGCUUUUCCUGAAUUGGGUAAUGAUUGACUCAGUGGAGCAAAGAUACAGAAUAAAGGAUCAAUAAGAAGACACGUGUAGCGGUUUUUACUUUAUAACUGGAUAAACGUGUCGAUAUCAGACAAAUUAAACAGCAAUUGGUAACCACAAAACAAUUGUGUCUAUAAAAGCUUCCACGUGGCUUCAGGGGCUCAAGGAAAUAAUCAAGAUGUCACCAAAUAGCCAUUAAGCCAAAGAAUCGCCAAAAAUGGCAAAAUGAAAGGGCGCCAAUCCUGUGAUAAAAAAAACAAAGCUUAAUCGAUCGUUAACAUUUUUAAAUUAUUGGAAAGAGGUCAAAUCUGAUUAUUGUAACAUAAUCACGGUUUGGCGCAAUCAUCAACUUAUUUACCAAUUUUUAUGGGAAACGUUUGGAUUAAUUCGCUCCACAAUUCAUGGGAUAGGUUAUGGUAUCAAGCUAAUCAUUAUUUAAUCAUUAGAAAUGCAAUCGGUUUCCUCAAUAAUUUUGUUUACCUAACUUUUUUGCUUGUGUUUUUUUUGUAUUGACCUUUUACCUGUGAUUCCUAUAAUUAUUGUUUGCUUUUUGAUAGAAACUAAAUUAUGAGUUUGUUUACUAAUCAGAACAGGAUUGGUUUCCUGGAACUGGAACGUAAAAUUCACGAAUUGGACUCGAAAAUUGAAACAAGGUAAAGAACAAAAAGACAUUAGUAGAAAAAAGGAAACCCAAAAUGACUAGAGUAACAAAGUGGAUCAACAAUAACUGGAAAAUCAUCUUAUUUAACCAUAAUCAAAAUUAUUGUCAAUCAACUUUCUAUCAACAGUUAAAGGAUAAAGCAAAAGGGAUCGGUUGACAUUGGAUGACUCUGAUCAACAUGUUAAACUGAUUGAGAAUCAUGUUGAGAGUCAAAGCUGAUUUCGUCUCUUUUCAAAUUGGUUCACAAGAAAGAAAGGAAAUGUCACUGGAAAACAUUUUUUUCUAUCCCUUGGAUGUCAACUAGAUGAAGAUGGAGAAGAUGAUGACGACGAAGAUGCCGAUGACGAUGAUGAAAAGGAAAGUUAUAAAAAGGUAAUAAAAAGCAGAACAUAAGAAGCGAAAAGAAAUUCAAACUCAAGAAGUUGAAAUCAAAUGGAAAGUUAAUAUGCAAAAAAACAUUGAUGAUGAUAAGGAAAAAAAAGAUGAAAAGGAAGUCAACCUUUUGUUGUACACAUCUUUGGUAUCUUCUUCUUGUCAUCAUCAUUUAGAUUGGUAAAGAUAAAUCCAUGACGGCGAAACAAUUUGAAUAACUCAUAGAUUUGAAUGUAAACCACAAUUGUACAAUACUGUAUUGAGAUUAACUUGAGCGCUUUUUUUAUUGAAGCUUGUGAAGCUCACAAGGAUCGUUAAGCCAACCAAGUUGAAUAUAUCCAAGUCUCUGUUAGACCUUUGGAAAAAUUCAGUAAUGAAUUAAUCCAGCAAUUUAUGAUUCAAACUACUAUAUAUUUAACACAUUUGGUUGUUGAUUUGUUUUCAAUGCAUUAAUGAAUUGAUUUGGUCAAUGGUAUAAAAAAUUUCAAUGCCAACUACUGAGUCUAAAUGGUUAAUGGUUUAAGUGUAACAUUAAGAAAUCUAUUGAUAAAGGAAAAGUCUAAUGUAAUUUCAUUAUAUUGCACUGAUUUAGUCAAUGAAUUGACAAAAAACUGAUUGACUAAGAAGAUAACGGUUCAUUUUUAAGCUUUGUAUAUUUCCAUUUUUUCAAUGGUCAGUUGAUUGAAGUGAUGAAAAGGUAAAGAUAUCUUAAAAUGUCUGAUGAAAAGAGAUUUCUUUUUCUUCCAAUAAAAGCAUAUAAAUGGACCAUCAUCUACAUCAUCAAGAUCACAGUGAUUCCAAUAAUAAUCUUCAUCAUCGUCAUAACCAUCAAGGCACCAACAUGAUGAGGAAUUUUGAACAAAGCAGGUUCCAUUAAAGGCCGUUAAUGGGAAAUGGUGCUUUUAUGCUUUCAAAGAUGAAUACAAAAGAUGAUACCGAGAAGAAAGAAGGAGAAGACAAAAUUAAUGACAAUUCACAAUAGAGUCUGCAAAAUAAUGAUAAUACAAGACAAGACAUUCAACAUACUUCAGAAUUGGCAUCAUCUUAAAUGUUGUCAUAUUAGGAUUUAUCCUUUGGACCCAUCUUUAAACUCAUCCCUUUCAUUGGGUUGAUUCAUCUGUAAAAUGAGACAAAAUUGUUACAAUAUCGAAAGCUAGAAAUGUUACCAUUUUGUAAUUGAUCAAAAGGAAUGAUGAGCAAGAAUUGUAAAGGGUAAAGUAUCUUUUACUUAGAACUUACCUCUUUCUUGUUAGGAUUAACUGGACAAGACAUUGUUAUUAGGUAGGAGUGAGUUAAAUACAGACCAAAGGUUUUACCAAACGCCAACCAAUAGAUGGUCAAUAGCCUAAAGGUACAAUCCUGUUAACAACAGAUUAAUGAGUUGAGUUGAAUUCAGAUUAACUUGAAAGAUUAAACGUUAUAAAGCAACAUAUCAUUAUAAAUGAGAAUACAGAACAAUUUGUUUUUUUUGUACUCUUCUGGACUACACCAAACAGAGUGAUUAAAUCACUUAAAGGAGCUAUCAAUGACACCAAUGGGCUUAAAAAUUGUCUCUUUAAGUGACAAAAAUGACAAUCAGAGCAUCGCUAUUGCCACCAAAUAUUGAUAGAUAAUACUUACCAGACUGUCCUUUUGAACAGUCUAAUCAACCAUAAAUUACACCAGAAUCAACUUGUCCAUCAAACAUAAUCUUUAACUAAAGAAGAAAAAAUUAUUGAAAAUUUUUAAAACUCUUUCAACCCAAUCUGGUGUCAAAAAUGUUUAAUUAUCAAGUUACUUGUACUGCCGCCACUUUUAAAUAUCUAUUAUUUCCAUAUUUAAAUUGAAGUGAAAGGGAUGUUAAUGUUAAAUGAUUUUACUCUGUAUUAAAUCAAUUGAAUAGCAACAAGUUGAACAAUUUGGGACAUUGAAUGUUACAAUUUGAAUCGAUCGGAAUUAAAUGUUUGACACCAAUCCACACCUUUUUUCCCACUCUUAUUACCAUUCAGUUUAUGUUUAUCAGAACAUCUCUUGAUCAUUAUCACCAAAUUUAUAACUUGAUUCAUCUUUCUUUCUCCAUUUAAAUCAAUUUUUAAUACAAAUCACUUUCAAUAUAAUCUUACAUGUAAAUGUAUUUUGGUCUAAUACAAUCUCAUUAUGAACAAUCAUUGACACGAAAAACACUUUUCAUUGAAAUACGCUUUUGCUUUCCAUUUUUCACUCUUCUCAAGUCAAUCUUAAGACUUCCGACCUGAUUUUUACCUGGCUUUCAUCUUUUAACAUUUCUAUUUUCAAUAAUAAUGUUUAACGCCAUUUCUAUUAACUGGUAUUGAUUAUAUUGUUGAUAAAUGAUGGUGUAAAGUAAAUGUAAAAAAACUAGUUACUAGGAAAAAUCUGUCCUUCCAAGAAUCAAGGGAAACGAUGCAACAACUCUUCAUCCGAGGGAUAAAGCUAACCAACAAACCAGGAUUUUUGCCGAUUAAACCUUCAUCUUACAUCGGUGCACAGAGACGCGUAAUUUCAAGUGUUUUAAAAUUUUGAAUGUUGAAACAUUUCUUUUGUUGGACCAUUGAGCAUGUUAGCGACGUCGGACUGAAUAUGCUAUUGAUCUUGCUUCCAGUUCUUACUAAACUUUCAAUCUUCCACCCUGUUUAUGAUUAUUUUGAGCAAUCAACUUGCAAUAGAUAACUGUAUCUACAUUGAUGUUAGUGGGAAAAUAUCGAGAGAAGCAUAAAAAUCAACAAUUCUUGGAAAUGAGUUAGCUUUGCAUCCAGACAGAUUAUUAAGCUCUCUUAAUUAACUAUGAAGAUUUAUUUGAAUCCUCUCUGAUUACAGCAACCUGAUAGUAUUUUGGAGUCCACUUUUUUGCGCUACUGAAGGAGAUAGUAUCGAUCUAUUUUUUAUUUUGGUAUAACAAUAUUGUGAUCAGAUUAAAAUGGCAUUCAAGAAUGGCGAAUAAAUCAGUUUUGACUUUAUAACAAUCCAUUGGUAACUCAAUAUAAUAAUAAUGAAUCUGUUGUUUGCUAUUUGAGGGCAACAUAAACACAAAAUAUUCAACAUUAAAUUGGUUUCAGCAUUAAAUUUACUGAAUGUCAAGAAACCUAAGCGAUUCAACCUUUUCCCCAAACUCAACAGAUAGUAAUUUAUUAUAAAGGUGGUGAAAAGGUCGCUUAUGCAAAAUAAAUUUCAGAUGAAAGAAGGCAAACAAAAAAUAAGCUCAAGUAAAAUGAAAACGGGAAACAAGGUAAAUUGACAAUGACUGGUGAAUCCUGUUGGUCCAAGAAAGCAGAAGAUGAAGACGAGCUGAUUGUUUGGACGAAUAACAUUAACAAUGCAAAGUCACCAGGAAAAAGAAAGAUGAAUAUUAUAUUUUAUCUCUUCCUAUGGAUUUUCAUUACAAUAAAAAGCUAAAUGAAAGGUAUGAUGGAUCAUCGAAGCUGGUGUUGCUAAUAAUGAUCAUCUUCACUGUAAGGGACCAUUUUCCCGGUGAUAAUUUGAUAAUGGUAACCUGCGAAAGUAAACUAACUUAUCAAUGGAAGCUUGGUCAACUUGGUCCAGAUAACCGGUUUUAGUUUGGUCCAACGUUUUCAAUUCAUUUCAUUUUGAGAAUUAAUCUUUCCCCAGACAUUAAAAUAAGGAAUCAAUGAAAAAGAGAAAAAUACGAAUCGAGCUCCAUAGUUACACUAAAAUACGAUGUCUAGCCAAGCCCAGGUCACCCAAUGUUGGAAGUAAAGGCCGUACAUGAAGGAGUGUGUCCAACUACCGCUCCUAAUGAAUACAAUGGCAAUGAUACUCGAAAACUUGAACAGAAUGUGAAGAAAAAAGAUCGCUUUUAUCCAUCAUUUAAAUGACAAAGUUUUACUGAUGAAUGUUGCUGAAUUAUGACAAUGCCAUAAAAAUGAAAUAGUUUGAGUAAUUGCCGGUUUCUUUUUUUAUACACAAGUUAAAUGGAAAAAGAUAAUUAUGUAUUUAUCAUGAAUUCAUGUAUUAAAAUCUUCUAGGAGAUGUUUUUCAGAAGUUUUACAAUCAAAUAAAAUUGGUCUAAACAUUGAGAUUGAAAACAAAGCUCAUC